rnacentral:lncRNA from 1 species
UGGCGGUGGUGGAGGAGCGUCACUGGAAUUUGGAUCACGCACUGGGCACAUCACAAUGCUGGAAAUCAGGUGACGUGGAGUGAUCCUGAUAGUGGAGCCAAUUUUCUUGUUGACCUGUGCCUUCUGAUCCAUCAUUAUUCAAGCCAUACAUUGCAGUCUAAAAUUCGUGACCACCAGGUGUUUGCGUUUAUGCGCACAAGGCUUCUCAUUUUCUAUUUUAAUGACCCGUACUUCCCAAUCAAGGCAGAAUCGAACAAUGCCAGGAAAUCCUAGAUUCCAACCUAGAGUUUGUUUGUUUGUUUGUUUGUUUGUUUGUGUGUGUGUGUCUCCACAAAGCUUUUCGCUUUUUCUGUCCAAUCUUAUAUGCUGCUAUACAAUUGUGUAAAUCUCAUAUCGAACAAACGUAUGAUGAUGACAUCUAUACCGCUAUAUUGCACACAAAUAGCUUUCAAUAUAGACAAAAUCCUAGAGGCUCGCUAGGUUGUUACAAGAGACGGCGGUCAAAUGACAUAGUCAGCUAGUUCUACUAUGGGUCGACACCAAAACAACACAGAAAAGAAAACCUACUAGAAAGUACUAGAUCCUAACUACAUCUGUAUAGUCGUGGGAGUAUGGGACCCACACCAACCUUGUCGCCGGCUGGCGGCUAGCCUGAGAUGAGAGGGGAGGGGCCAACAGUGGAACAGAGCAGAACGCCGUGGUUACUUCUUCUCCCUCCAGUUGCACUUGCAGCGCGAAAAAGAGAGGAUGUCGCUUUCCGAGACUUCUUUCCUGAAUCUUCAGGCAGUAGAGAUAACAGCUUGGACUUCACCUGUAUGUACAGCACAACUCCGUGGGUUUAUAACAUAGAAGAAAGAAAUGUCAUGUACUCCGGUGACCAUAAAGAAAUGUUGGGGGUACCUUUUAGCUCUCUUUCCUAGUAGGGAACCACAGCUAUCAAAAUGGGUAGCUGCGUUCACCAAAUUUGUAACACGUCUCUCCUGACCCAAAUAGUAGUUUGUGUCUCCUGCAAAGUUAACACAUAGUUAAACUGAUGCCCAGAUCACAGUCCGACAGGAGAUAAUUCUGGUUAAUACAUUGAAACAAUACUUUAUAUAGGAAUAUCAUCUCUCAGGCUCACAACUGAUUUCAGGAGAUGAUGACAUGGAAGAAGUGAGUAAGAAACAAAAUGGCUGAUGAGAAGUGGGGUAUACCUAUUCUGACAUGACCGAUGCGGGAAAUCUUGUUCCAUUCAGAGCUCUCUUUCUGUUUCCAGCUUUCCUCCACCUCUGGAUCACAUUCUCUGAUAAUGAAAGACUCCAGCGAAGAGGGCAGGUCAGGAAACGGGAGGCGACGGCGAACUUCAUCAAACUCCAGUCUCUUGAGAAAGCAAAAGUCUUCUAGCCUUAAUGUAAUCUCCGGCUUCAAUAUCUCCAGGGUCUCAACGGACCUAUUUUGUCUCAUCCAUCUCUGAGAUAUUGUUCCACAUCCAACGGAGAUGAUCAAGUUUUUUUGUGCUACACAAUCUGUUCAGUGGCUCCAUUUUAACAUGAAGGUGGUAUGGAUCCAGAGGGAGUCCUUCAAGGCGACCCCAACCAAUGAAUCUCCAUACAUUUCACCUAUUUCUGCAGCCAGCUGAAGCUGGUCACAGUCUGUAAUUUCUAGCCAACUGAGAUAUGAAAGAGCUCCAAGCCCACCCAAGGAUGACAAGAAAAUACAGUCUUUUGCAACCAUUUCUCGCAGUGCCGUGAGACUCCGGAACACCUCUGAUGAUGGAAGAGACUUCACCCUGGAGCAGUUGCACAAACUUAAUGAUGUAAGAUUAGUGAGACCAACCAGUGAAUUCAGCAAAGGAAGUUGGAGGUCACCACACUGCACCAUAGAGAUUUCCUUAAGCGUGCAAGGGAGUAGUCCACCAUCAACCUUCGGCAUCGUCAUUCUCAAUGAGUAACAGCACCCAAUACGAAAUUCCGUAAGAUCAUUCAUGCUCCCAAAUGAUAAAGGAGCAUGGAUUAACCUUUUACAGUCAACAAUCUUUAGGAUCUGAAGAGUGCAGAUAUAGUGCUCCUGCAGUAGAAAGCUCUCUGCCAACAUGGUCAAAUUUGAACAAUUGCUGAUGAUGACUGAUACUAACUUGGGUGGCAUGGCCUCAGAACCAAUGUUACCAUGGUGGACAACAAUUCUCGGGAGGAUGUCCAAUCCAACAUUAUUUAUUUCCAGCUGCAUCAAAGUCAGAGGUAGAAGUGGCAGUUUCCUUAAUCCCUGGCAUCCUUCCACCACUAGGGUUUUCAGAUUUUGAGGCAAGGAAUCACCAGAUGAUUGUCCAAUCUGUUUCAAUCCAGUAAGGUUUUGCAAUUCGAGAUGCUUGAGUAGCUGUAGAUUUCCAAGAGAUGGAAGGCACACCCAAUUUUUGCACUGUCUCAGCUCAAGUGACACCAUAUUGACCAGUGGGGGAUGGUUUAUUCAAGGUGGGAAUCGGACACCACUGUAUCCUGUAAUUUCAAGAUUUUCAAGACGAGCAUGUGGCUCAAGUAUAUCAAGAACCAGAUUGUCUUCCUUCAGAGCCUCAUUAGUUUCAGACCAGUUAAGUGACAGUGACCUAAGAUAGGAUUUCUCAUUUAUCUUGGCCUCUAUAACCUCUUCAUGCCUUUCAACAUUCUCAAGGUUGCACAGUCGUAGCUUGCAAAGGCUUGUUAAAUUCAUCAAUGAACUUAUUCGGUAACCUUCCUCUGACUGAAUACUGAAGUUAUACAAUUCUUGAAGUGAAGUUAAUCUGCCAACAGGACACUGACCAAAUCCAUUAGUACCAUAGGACACAUACCACAGGUGAAACAGGUUUUCCAUAUUCUCCACUUGUUCUGAUGCUGUACCUAUUCUUUUCGCUGCAAUAAGUACUUGUAAAUGAUAGAGCUUAGAAAGUCCAUGUAUUUUCUCAAUCGUAGAGAAAGAGAUAUAACGAAGGUGCUUGUUAGCAACUUCUUUCGGGAAACAGAACUUGGUUACCCCUUUUAAGCUCAAUAACCGUAAGCACUUAAGUUUUUCUAUAACUUCCUCCAGUGCAUAUACAUGACCAGUGCUGACAUGAUAAGAAUCUUCCACGACGAGUGUACGCAAACUCUUAAAGCAGGAAAUGGCCUUGAUCUCCUCACAUGAUAACUUGCUGAAGUUUGCUAUCCAUAAGGGCUAGUUUGGUUCCCCCGAUUCCCCCCGGGAUCCCGGCCUUAUCCCUGGGCGGAGAAAGCACCGGCCAAUCGGACCCCGGAUUAUUCGGCAGUCAGUUUGGAAGUCCAUUGGACGGGGAUAUCCUGGCCCAAUCCACGACAUAUCUACGGGGGGAAAAUCCACGACUGCGGAGAUCGGGGACGAAACCCCAUCUCUCUCGUGCGAAAGCAAACUUCCUUCGUCUCGUGGAUCCCCUCGCCUCCUCCAACGCCUUCCUCUCUCAAGCAGCAAAGCCUAUGACCUCGUCUGCUCCCUCAAGCCCACGAUAUUUGUCAAACUUCCAUGCCCUUCCCCGUGAUGCCCAAAUGGCACCAGGGAUAUCUCCCUAUUGUGAGAGGGGAUGCCAUGAGCACAGGAAAAAUCUCUCCCGGUGACUGCUACCCUGGGUUUUCCCUCCUCAGCAACCAAAUGAGCCCUAAGUGUCUAACCGUACACUUAUGAUGCAGAAAACCACCGGAUUCAAGUCUUAGGCAUUCACCGGUAGAGACAUUACGUGCCAACUCAUGCAAUAAAUCAUGCACAACAUAGUACUCUGUGCUGUAUUUCUGGUAAGGAUUUACUGUUGGCACAAAAGUAAAGAAUGACUUUCUUGCCAACUGCUGCAAAUUAUCUUUCUCCCAUGUCUUCUGGCCUUUUGGUCCCACCUUCAGUUUGCAGGAUCAGUCCUGAACCCAUCCACAUUUUCACUAUGUCUUCCUUCUUAAACUUCUGUCCUUUUGGAAAUAUGCUACAGUAUCUAAAACAAAGCUGCAACUGUUCAGGUAGAUGAUGGUUGCUCGAUCGAAGAACAGUUGUGACGAUAACAUCUGUGCUUCCUUCUAAAUGUUCUAAUUGUCUCUCUAAGUUCUUCCAGUGCUCAUCAGUUACAUUGCUACGUAGAUGGCCACCUGCAAUCUUUGUAACCAAAGGACAGCCUCGAAACUUUUUUGCUAUUUUUUCAGCAACUGACAAGAGAUGUGCAUAAUCUUCCGGAUUCAAACCACCAAAUGCACACUUCUUGAAGAGCAUACAAUUUUCAUCUUCAUUUAAUCCAUUUAAGUGCAAAUAGUCCUUUCUACUUCUCAUCACACCUGUAACCAUAUCUGCCACAGAUCUCAUUCGGGUUGUCAGCAGGAUCUUGCUUCCUGUUUGGAUACUCCGCAAAGGUGCCAUUAAAUUUUCCCAUUCACUAAUUUUGUUAUCUUCCCAAACAUCAUCCAGAAUAAGCAGAACUUUCUUACGGUCCAGUUUGUCUUUGAGAAUUUGUUGCAAUGCUUGCAAAGUAUCAGCAUUAGGCUUCUCUUUUGUAACUGCCUCCAAGAUCUUUUUCAUUACCCUUGUUGAACUGAAAACAUUAUCAGAAACAUGUACCCACAAAACACAGUCAAAGUGUGCUGAACCUUUCAAUUCUUCGCACACAAUCUGAGCAAGGGUUGUCUUUCUCCAAUUCUGAUUAUUGCAAAAACCGGUACCUGAAUAACAGUAUCUGGAUCAUCAUAUACAUUAUCAGUCAACCACCUUAUCACCUGGUUCUUCUCACUGUCACGACCAAAUAUCUCAAUAGGCACCAAAGUGGAGCUAGUCUGGUAUACACUUCUUUCAGCGCGAUCUUGCAGGACAAGAUUAUCAACACGGCAUAAAAGCUGAAGGAAACCACCCACAUCUUUAGCAACAGUUUCUAACUUCUCUAUGGCCUCCCUCAGCUUCUCUACCAUGUUUCCCUCAGGAGUCAUCCUUGCAGCCUUGCCAACAAUCUGUUCUUUGAAAAACUUUGUGAACGGAUUACGCACCUGUCCUAGGCUGUGGGCUUCUGCCUCUUCUUUAAGCUUGUGGUAGUCCAUCUCAUCAAGUGCAUCCUCAGCUUCCUCGACUGCAUCGCGGAAUCGCCAGAGCCACUCAGCUAGUCCAUUGCUCUCCUCACUGAUCUCCUGAUGAUCAACAACAUCGUACACCGCUUGGAUGUCCGUGAGCUUUUCUGACAGAUUAUUCUUGAGCUCCUCUAGAUCGUUAGGCUUGUACCACUCACUGAGAUAACCGAAUGCCUUGUUCAGGAUGAAUGAGAUGGCUGGGGUUGCAACCGACUUCCCUGCAAAGACUAGUGCAGCAGUAGCAGCCAUUGUUGUGGACAGGAGGUUUGGAUCUCGCUCUCUGGACAGGAAGCAGGAAGGACAAGGAGGAGUCAGGACUAACACAACUAAAGAAAGAUCUUUGCAGGCGACUUGUAGUCCUUGAUACCACAAUAUAAACCUUCAUUGACUUUAAGCAUCGAUUUUAUAAAAUGAUAUAGUUUUAAAAUGCUAAUAGAGCAUAUUAUUUUCGGUGGAACAUGGAGCUGGAGCGCAAUCAAAAUCCAUUAUUUUGACGUGGAGAUUCCUUUAGAGAGUUGUGUUUGACUUUGGAAUCGUUUACCGAAAUCAUUAAUUUCCAUGGAGGCACAUAUUGUACUUGUUUAAGCCAAACCACAAGUUCCGUGCAAGCACGUCAUAUAUUAAUAAAAGUGACAAGAAACUUGAUAACUAUUACUAGUUUAGUUAAGUGAACAUCGUGGAUGCGCCUAAUGCCAGUGGACAUGUUUAAUCGUGCAACUACAGUUAUUUACUAUUGAUCAAUCACUCACAUGAUCUGGUUCCAAGGUAGGGUCAACCGGUUCUGGCUACUGGUUUAUGGCCCUUCUGCAGUUCUGCAUCUAGUGCACAUGGAACAACUGAAACCUGAAUGCCUGAGUCUUUAGUUGCACCAAACUUCAUCUCUUCCUCACUUUGCUUUUUAGUUAAAUCUUAGUCUAUUAAAGACAUGUGAGUAUUAACUGUGUUAGAUAUUACAUUAGGACAUAAAUGGUUACAACACGUUCUUAAUGUCGUCGAGCCGUAGAUGCCUCUUCUUUGCCAAAAGAUAACUUGUAAAGUCUCCUUUUGGAACACCGAAAUAAGGGACGUCACACAGUAUAGAAUCUUGCAGAAUUUCAAACAUAGGAAUAGUAGACAUUUUGCGUACCUCAAAUUAAGAGCCGCGCUGUGUGAGGAGUGAAUGGUGCACAUUUGUUCCUGAUGCGAGGCUGUACUGUACAAGUUGGAAAUAAAAAAAACUUGUGUGCUUGCAGCAACGAAAAGGAGGCGAAGAGCCCUGAUCAGGUGCGUGUUGAAUUGUGGAAAUGCAGGGGAGGGGAAGCGCAGUCGAUUUCUGAAGCAAUUUACCCAGGUGAGAAGAUGGGGGCAUGAAUCAAAACAAAAGUACUUUUUGCUCAAGCAAAAGGUGGCGGCACAAUAGGAGCACUGGAUGUUGAUCAGCUAACAAGUGGCGGAUGCUUUCCAGGCAGGGGUGGAAGAUUCAGUGACAAGUAAGACCUGAUUCUAGUGUUGCACUUAAAAAACUAAGCUGCAUCAGUUUUAAUAUAUAGCCAUUUUGUUGUACAUAGGUGAAAAUAAAUCCUCUUCUCUUCCUUUCUAGGCAAAAUUUCAUCUAAUCUGAAACAAAUGUUAUCCCUACAAUAUUUUCAUGCUCGGCUGAAACAAAUUUUAGUUUUGUUGGAAUCAUCUUUUGGCUGCUGUGGAAAACAGUGGACAUGAACGAUCGAAACAAUUUCAGUAUGUUGCAACGGAAACAUCUGUCACAAAUGGUCGAACCAA